rnacentral:rRNA from 1 species
AGACCCGAAACCCGGUGAUCUAGCCAUGGGCAGGUUGAAGGUUGGGUAACACUAACUGGAGGACCGAACCGACUAAUGUUGAAAAAUUAGCGGAUGACCUGUGGCUGGGGGUGAAAGGCCAAUCAAACCGGGAGAUAGCUGGUUCUCCCCGAAAGCUAUUUAGGUAGCGCCUCGUGAAUUCAUCUCCGGGGGUAGAGCACUGUUUCGGCUAGGGGGCCAUCCCGGCUUACCAACCCGAUGCAAACUGCGAAUACCGGAGAAUGUUAUCACGGGAGACACACGGCGGGUGCUAACGUCCGUCGUGAAGAGGGAAACAACCCAGACCGCCAGCUAAGGUCCCAAAGUCAUGGUUAAGUGGGAAACGAUGUGGGAAGGCCCAGACAGCCAGGAUGUUGGCUUAGAAGCAGCCAUCAUUUAAAGAAAGCGUAAUAGCUCACUGGUCGAGUCGGCCUGCGCGGAAGAUGUAACGGGGCUAAACCAUGCACCGAAGCUGCGGCAGCGACGCUGAUGCGUUGUUGGGUAGGGGAGCGUUCUGUAAGCCUGCGAAGGUGGCCUGUGAGGGUUGCUGGAGGUAUCAGAAGUGCGAAUGCUGACAUAAGUAACGAUAAAGCGGGUGAAAAGCCCGCUCGCCGGAAGACCAAGGGUUCCUGUCCAACGUUAAUCGGGGCAGGGUGAGUCGACCCCUAAGGCGAGGCCGAAAGGCGUAGUCGAUGGGAAACGGGUUAAUAUUCCCGUACUUGGUGUUACUGCGAAGGGGGGACGGAGAAGGCUAUGUUGGCCGGGCGACGGUUGUCCCGGUUUAAGCGUGUAGGUGUGUGUUCCAGGUAAAUCCGGUUCACUUUAACACUGAGGCGUGAUGACGAGGCACUACGGUGCUGAAGCAACAAAUGCCCUGCUUCCAGGAAAAGCCUCUAAGCAUCAGGUAACAUCAAAUCGUACCCCAAACCGACACAGGUGGUCAGGUAGAGAAUACCAAGGCGCUUGAGAGAACUCGGGUGAAGGAACUAGGCAAAAUGGUGCCG